rnacentral:lncRNA from 1 species
GUUGUCUUGGAGCAUUCGGUGAUGGCGCAUAUCUCCGGUGCCAUUGCUGCCUCCGGGGUAACUCUGGUUCUUCUUGAAACAGGUCGUCGUCUGCCGUUGCCCUUGCUGCCCCUUGGAAUCUAUCCCACCCUUUUCUCCCUAGGGUUGGGAUUUCAGAGGUGGAGUGGAAUGAGGCGGGGGGCGAGAGCUGAGAGGCUUGUCACACGCAUCGAAAAAUACGACAGGGAAGGA